rnacentral:rRNA from 1 species
AGUCUGGUGCCAGCAGCUGCGGUGAUACCAGCUCCAAUAGCGUAUAUUAAAGUUGUUGCAGUUAAAAAGCUCGUAGUUGGACUUGUGUGCGCUGUCCGCGGGUGGCCUGCGCCCAAAAGGGCGUUUCGGUUCGGCCCCGGUGGCGCCUUGAAAUCUGCAGCUGGGGGGACGUUGGCCUUAACUGGUCGGCGACCGCACGCCGGCUGCUCGGUUACUGUGAGAAAAUUAGAGUGUUCAAGGCAGGCAUUGGGUGCAAUUGAAUACAUUAGCAUGGAAUAAUAAAAUAUGGCUCCUGCCGUAUUUUGUUGGUUUUGACUGGUGGGAGUAAUGAUUGAUAGGGACGGUUGGGGGUGCUAGUAUUGAGCGGCCAGAGGUGAAAUUCAUGGAUUCGCUCAAGACUAACUUAUGCGAAAGCAUUCACCAAGGACGUCCUCUUUAAUCAAGAACGAAAGUUGGGGGAUCGAAGACGAUCAGAUACCGUCGUAGUCUCAACCAUAAACUAUGUCGACUUGGGAUCGGCGGUAGUUUUUUCAUUAAGACACUGUCGGGACCACGGGAGAAAUCAAAGUGUCUGGACUCUGGGGGAAGUAUGGUCGCAAGGCUGAAACUUGAAGGAAUUGACGGAAGGGCACCACCAGGAGUGGAGCCUGCGGCUUAAUUUAACCCAACACGGGGAAACUUACCAGGUCCAGAGAUGUAGAGGAUUGACAGAUUGAAGCUCUUUCUUGAUCACUUCGGUGGUGGUGCAUGGCCGUUCUUAGUUGGUGGAGUGAUUUGUCUGGUUAAUUCCGUUAACGAUCGAGACCUCAGCCUGCUAGUGUAGUCGGCUGGAUUGCCUUUGGCGAUCCGUGAUUUCGACUUCUUAGAGGGACAAUCGACGCGCAGUCGAUGGAAGUUUGAGGCAAUAACAGGUCUGUGAUGCCCUUAGAUGUUCUGGGCCGCACGCGCGCUACACUGCUGGGCUCAGCGAGUUUUACUUGGCCGAGAGGCCCGGUUAAUCUUGUGAAAUCCCAGCGUGCUUGGGCUCGCCUCCUGCAACUGGAGGCGCCAACGAGGAAUUCCUAGUAGACGCAGGUCAUCAACCUGCAUCGAUUACGUCCCUGCCCUUUGUACACACCGCCCGUCGUUCCAUAAGAGUGAGGCAUCCGGUGAAUUCUCGGGAGAGCCUGGGCGUGGCCAGCAAUGGUCUGCUCGGGUUUGAACUUGCAUAAACUUGGUGCCUAUGAUUAGGG